GUCAGUGUGGUGUAGUGGUUUGAGCGUUGGACCACAACUCUAGAAACCUGGGUUCAAAUCCCCACUUGGCCA